rnacentral:rRNA from 1 species
AUUGAACGCUGGCGGCAGGCUUAACACAUGCAAGUCGAACGAUGAUUAUCUAGCUUGCUAGAUAUGAUUAGUGGCGGACGGGUGAGUAACAUUUAGGAAUCUGCCUAGUAGUGGGGGAUAGCUCGGGGAAACUCGAAUUAAUACCGCAUACGACCUACGGGUGAAAGGGGGCGCAAGCUCUUGCUAUUAGAUGAGCCUAAAUCAGAUUAGCUAGUUGGUGGGGUAAAGGCCCACCAAGGCGACGAUCUGUAACUGGUCUGAGAGGAUGAUCAGUCACACCGGAACUGAGACACGGUCCGGACUCCUACGGGAGGCAGCAGUGGGGAAUAUUGGACAAUGGGGGCAACCCUGAUCCAGCCAUGCCGCGUGUGUGAAGAAGGCCUUUUGGUUGUAAAGCACUUUAAGCAGGGAGGAGAGGCUAAUGGUUAAUACCCAUUAGAUUAGACGUUACCUGCAGAAUAAGCACCGGCUAACUCUGUGCCAGCAGCCGCGGUAAUACAGAGGGUGCGAGCGUUAAUCGGAAUUACUGGGCGUAAAGCGAGUGUAGGUGGCUCAUUAAGUCACAUGUGAAAUCCCCGGGCUUAACCUGGGAACUGCAUGUGAUACUGGUGGUGCUAGAAUAUGUGAGAGGGAAGUAGAAUUCCAGGUGUAGCGGUGAAAUGCGUAGAGAUCUGGAGGAAUACCGAUGGCGAAGGCAGCUUCCUGGCAUAAUAUUGACACUGAGAUUCGAAAGCGUGGGUAGCAAACAGGAUUAGAUACCCUGGUAGUCCACGCCGUAAACGAUGUCUACUAGCCGUUGGGGUCCUUGAGACUUUAGUGGCGCAGUUAACGCGAUAAGUAGACCGCCUGGGGAGUACGGCCGCAAGGUUAAAACUCAAAUGAAUUGACGGGGGCCCGCACAAGCGGUGGAGCAUGUGGUUUAAUUCGAUGCAACGCGAAGAACCUUACCUGGUCUUGACAUAGUGAGAAUCCUGCAGAGAUGCGGGAGUGCCUUCGGGAAUUCACAUACAGGUGCUGCAUGGCUGUCGUCAGCUCGUGUCGUGAGAUGUUGGGUUAAGUCCCGCAACGAGCGCAACCCUUUUCCUUAUUUGCCAGCGGGUUAAGCCGGGAACUUUAAGGAUACUGCCAGUGACAAACUGGAGGAAGGCGGGGACGACGUCAAGUCAUCAUGGCCCUUACGACCAGGGCUGCACACGUGCUACAAUGGUAGGUACAGAGGGUUGCUACACAGCGAUGUGAUGCUAAUCUCAAAAAGCCUAUCGUAGUCCGGAUUGGAGUCUGCAACUCGACUCCAUGAAGUCGGAAUCGCUAGUAAUCGCAGAUCAGAAUGCUGCGGUGAAUACGUUCCCGGGCCU